AGAGUUUGAUCAUGGCUCAGAGCGAACGCUGGCGGCGUACUUAACACAUGCAAGUCGAACGGGGAUCUUCGGUGUAGCAAUACAUCGGCGGUCCUAGUGGCGCACGGGUGAGUAACACGUGGGUAACCUGUCCUUGAGUUCGGGAUACCCUUUCGAAAGGAAGGCUAAUACCGGAUACGUUCCUCGGAUUGCGAAAUCUGGGGAGGAAAGGUGGCGAAAGCUACCGCUCUUGGAGGGGCUCGCGGCCUAUCAGCUAGUUGGUGAGGUAACGGCUCACCAAGGCUAUGACGGGUAGCUGGUCUGAGAGGACGACCAGCCACACGGGAACUGAGACACGGUCCCGACUCCUACGGGAGGCAGCAGUGGGGAAUUUUCCGCAAUGGGCGAAAGCCUGACGGAGUGACGCCGCGUGGGGGACGAAGGCCUUCGGGUUGUAAACCCCUGUCAGAGGGAAAGAAGGGUCGCCUGGCUAAUAUCCAGGUGAUCUGACGGUACCUUCAGAGGAAGCCCCGGCCAACUCUGUGCCAGCAGCCGCGGUA
rnacentral:rRNA from 1 species